UCUCUCUUCCCUUCAGAGAAAGGCACCUCCUUCUUUGAUGGCCUCUUCUUUCCACAAGGAUCUCAGUCACAGAGAUCUUUCAUGUGAUGGAAAAUGGCAGACUAAAUCAAGACAUUGAAAAAGCAUUUCAUCAGUUUCGAUUCCAAAUUGGUGGUGGUGGAGGGGAAUGUGGCUAACAUCAAACUUACCAUGGAGGAAGACAGUGAAAAUUUACAGUAUGGUCUAUAAACUACUUCUGCCCACAGUAACAUUUUGGUGCUGUUACUCAGAUUGCAAUUCCAACAUGAUGUGGAUCCCCCUCAAGCUCAACUCCAGCCAGCAUAGGACCAUCCCACCAGGCCAGUGAGCAUGCAAACUGCUGUUUCUUUUUCAGAGAGUCUUAUUCUCCUUCAUAAUAACUCUCUUAUUUUUCCAACUGGGUCCCUGUCAGCCUGUUAAAAGCAGUCAAUGUGGCUGCCAGUCUUAACUCCAGGGCAAGGCUUGCUGAUUAAGGCCAGAAUAAUGCCCUGGAGCUGAGACUAUCCUAACGCCUUUUCUUUGGUGUGGAUCGGCCCUUCGUGUGAUACUGGAAGGAGGCCUUGAGACAACUGAUGGACUCUGGCUGGGGCUACAUCCCAGUGUUUCCAGAAGGUCUCUUGACCUGGGCACAGACACUAACAGGCAGAAUGGUGUUGGAACAGGAAACACUUUCCUGUAGGGAGCACGUCCCCUGCCCUUUUGGAAUCUUCAGGAACUGUAAAGCCAGAGGCUCCACUCUGCAAACUUCUCAUCUCAGCUAUUCCAACUCAGCUUCCUUUCGUGGGGAUUGACCCUGAGACAUGGGACUGGGAGGAGAGCUAGGAAUAACCUUGACAUUCAGGCCAGGGCCACUCUCAGGCACUUUUCAAGGACUCCCUGACUGGACACCAGAACCUUAUGGCCCUUUAGGGUGUCAGCCAAAAACUGCAUUCUGCUCUUCCUUCCUUAGACAUUAAUUUGUUUAUGACAUUGGGCGAAGCUUGGAGCGAAGCCAUGGGCUCCGGGCUCCAUGCCUCAAUGAGUUUUUCCUUUAUCCUAGAUGCUGACAAAAUCACCAUCUCUCUGGUCCUCUAAGUGCUUUCUGUACCUCUCCAGGUCUCCUCAAUUCCUACAAACUUGAUUUCUUGGUCCCAUUAGCGAGUGUUUCCUAGAUAUUUUAUUAAUUAGCUCUGGGUUAAGGUUUAAUUAUCCUGUUUUCAAGCAGGCAGUUUUUCGAACUAGAUUCCCAUUAAGUCCCCGUGUGGCCUGAACUUGUGUAGACCAGUCUCAGCAUGUCUCUGGUACCUUCCAUCUUCCUUAUUAAGUUCCCUCUUUUGGGUCACUUCUGUCUAGCCCUUCCUAUAUGGUAUAUACCUCAGAGGAGGUUUAAGGGGAGAAUUUUAUUCCCUUACUCUGCUUCUUUGUGACUUCACCUACCUAGUCACCAAGCUAGGUGGUAACCAGGGCUGGCAAGCUCUAGUUUAAAAACACCUUUGCUAAGGCUCUCACCAUGGAGGCUCACUGUCAAAAUCAAGCCCAUUAGAUAAGACUCAAGGUUAAGACACAUAGAGCAACUAUUUUUCCUUAUACAUAAGAACGAAGCCACUGUACAUAUUUGGCCAGGCAGAGGUCCAGUCUAGCACACCAUCAGUAAGGGAACAGAUUACCCCCUGCAUGUGCUAUUCUGACAAAUAUAUACCCUAUGCCACAGGAGUGGAAACCUGAGCAAGAGUGGAAGAUAUGUGCUAAUCCCACCCUCACUUGCCUCCCUUCCCUGUGGGCUUCAGUGCACAUCUGGAUGCCAGAGGCAGCAAGAGAGUUUUGAGAGAUGUCUCAAACUCAGGAGGCUUGAGACCUGAAGUACGCUUCUGUUUUUAUGCUCUCAUUCCAGCCAGGAGGCAUACCAUCUACUUUGAGAUCUCUUUUGACCCCUGGGCUAACAGAAAGUGCCUUGUCAUUUUCUGUACCACCUGGCCUGUUUACAAGCUAGAGGAUGGAGAAGUUAGCCUAAGAGAGUUGUGAAAAGUGCCAGCCCCUCUACUCUGGCUCCUCGUCUCAGGACUCUGUCCCCUAACUGGCUUCUAGCCUCUAUUUCCUACACAAGCUUUAUGCAUUAAAUUCUUUGUCAGAGUGUCAUAGGGUCCUUGGGUCUAUUUAGUGAGCCACCAGGGUCCCUCUGUUAUCACAUUUGACAAUUGUUGAGGCCUUUAAUCCAGGUAGAGAAGAGUUUUUAAUCAAGUGACCAAUGCCCAAUGCCCCCAUUGUUGUAAUUUUGCCUAGAGGUUUCUAGGCAAUAAUCUAGGCCAAAUAAUCUCAGAUGCUAUUGAAUACUUCUUAAGACACCUCCUGACCUUACUGCUCAUCUCUAAGCCUGGUUUGACUGACAGCCCCAUGAUUAGACACUUCCAGUAUUGGCUUUUGGUUUUGUGGUAUAAAGCUCCUGGGGUCUGUGUGGUGACUGCACCUCUUGCCCCCACAGUGCUCCUCCUCUCAGAACGAAUCUACAGCAACAUAUAUAUAAAGUCAACUGAAAAUAGAUCUCAGUAAACAAGAAGAGGGGGAAUAAAAAGA